GGGCGAUUAGCUCAGUGGCGAGAGCACUUGCCUUACAAGCAAGGGGUCGGUGGUUCAAAUCCACCAUCGCCCACCA
rnacentral:tRNA from 1 species